CCACGAGCGCGAGAAGUCGAAGGUAGGAGCAGAAAGCGGUGUUAGUGUUAGUUCUGGCUCGUUUGGACCCAAACUAAAGUGUAUCAGUAUGAAGCAGGCGGUGACGGCGCACUGAUUCACUCUCGGAGCUCGGUUCACUAAUGACCGAAUCACCGAGGAACCGACCAAAGAUAACUCACACCCGCACGGAGAAGAAGAACAAGAGGAGGAGAAGAUGAACUGGAGUGGGGCAAAGAGAACUGCAUUCAGAUCAAACGGAUACAAGAGGUGGCGAUUGCAGGCACAUUUUAUCCGAACUGCUUCCUCCAGGGAACUCUAUGGAAACGACCCCAGGACCACCAUAGUGGUAUUCAGUGUGUAAUCUCCCUCCAUUUGCAUUCCUCUACUAUAAACAGCUCCAGUCUCUCUUCAGACACUGUGGUUAAAUCAAAUCCAUCUCCUUUGACAGCUCCAGGGCCUAUGUAGAGUUCUAUCGCUCGUCAAUGAGAGGUUCUGGCGUUCUCCCAGAGGUCUCUCUGUCUCUCCUUCUCACGCAGAAGAGACUUCUCCAUCUCAACGUUUAACCCGCUGGAGAGGUGGAGACUUGGGCAGGGGGGUAGUGUAUCUCACACCUCAGAUAUACACGGGUGAAUGUGGAUUUUCAGAAUCAGUCAGUGAGCCCUGUCGGGGUUCUGAGCAGCUCCAUUGAGUUGGAGAAUCUUCCGUCUAACCCUGUCUUUAUCGUCAAUAUCACCGAGGUGUCUGUUCCGCCUCUUUCACUUUCAGUGCACAAAUAAAAAAGAAGCAGUGGCUCCUGUGUGUGUGUGUGUGUGUGUGUGUGUGUGUGUGUGUGUGUGUGUGUGUGUGUGUGUGUGCACUAACAGGAGGUCCAGGUGCAGCCUUUGGAUAUUGAUGAAGAUUUACUGCCCCUGCAAGACCUUCCUCAACUGCGUAGUCUGGAGCAAAGGAUGCAACAGAGCCCAGAUUACAAGCAAAAUCUGGUAAACUGGUUGGCGCUUAUUGACGGGGUGUAUGUGCGUGACUGCACCUGGCGCAUAUUGAAGAGGGUGAUUGCUAACUCCCUGGCAAAGAAUCUCAAUUGGAGGGGAGUCAAUGGAAAGACUUCACUGUCCGCUCUCCAACUCGGAGACUUCGUGAUUGCUGCAGUUCAUAGAAACCUCCUCACGGCUAAAGCUGCAGAGAUGGAGGUCGAGGGGACCAUGAAGAGGCGGCUCCAGCUGGCAUCAGAGCGAGAGUGGCCUAAACAUGGCUGAAAACUCCCAAAACUCGGUAGACGCGCCAGCACCAGUGAAAAUGUAACUUACAUUGGGCAUGGGCAUGGUCGAGGAGCUCCUUAGCACCCCUGAAGGCAGGCAAUGGUCGGGAUGAAGUUGCUCCGAUGUGCACGAUUUACUAUAUAUAUAUAUAUAUAUAUAUAUAUAUAUAUAUAUAUAUAUAUAUAUAUAUAUAUAUAUAUAUAAUUAGAUAGAUAUGGGGUAAUAAAGUGUAAAAUAUAGAUAAUUCACAAUAAUUUAAUAUCAGAUAUCAGUUAGAUUCAGCUUCGGACACAAGUUCCAGGUACUGAUCGAGAAGGAGUGGAUCAGCUUCGGACACAAGCUGACCUCGCGUGUCGGCCUUGGAGAUGAGAAUCACGCCAACUCGGAACGAUCCCCUCUCUUUGUGCAGUUCAUCGACUGUGUGUGGCAGAUGAUGAGACAGGUGAAACCCAGGGCUCAAACCAAGAGAAGGCAUUCAGAGCUAUUCAUUCUUUAAAGUCCAUUUAACGAGGUACACCAGGGCAGCGAGAAAAAAACAUCAGUCACUCGUUCCAGUAUUUUUGAACAGUUAAUGAAUAGGAUGGCUUCAAAAAAGCUGCCAUAUUUUAAGCUGUGUAACACGUCUAGAUGUAAAUAUGAGGAAAUGAAAGCUGAAAUUCUGAUCUAUCGUCUCAUAUUCGUCUUUUAUCUCAAACCCAAAUGUCUUCAGUAUACAGCAAAAGCAAGUGAAUUGGCCUUGAUGUUCCAAUACUUUUGAAGAGGACUCUAAUUGUAAGAAUUAAAUAUAAUUUCCGUACUGAACAAAAGACUGAUUAUCUGUUCAGGCACUAUUGUGCAGAUCCGCAUUUAAGCAUCUUACUAUACACUGAGUUCAAAGAGCUUUUUCUCAUCCCCAUCCUGGAUCGCCCCUACAGCUGCCUGUUUGGUACAUUCCUCUACAGCAGUGAGCAGGAGAGAAUGGAAAAGGAAGUACAGGGUAAAACAGUCACUGUGGUCCUACGUUAACAGUCAGCCGGAGGACUUCACUAACCCGUUCUAUGUGGACUGUAAAAACCAGGUGCUGUAUCCACUGGCCAGUCUCACACAUCUGGAGCUCUGGGUGGGUUAUUAUGUGCGUUGGAACCCACGCAUGAGACCACAGAUGCCGCUCCAUCAGAAUCUGAGAGAGUUAUUGUUUUUGCGUGAAGAACGUGGAGGAGCUCCAGAGAGAGGCCACGUCAUCCUGCUCCAUCUCCUCAUCCUCAGAGCAUACUUCUCCCUCCUCACAUAGUGGUACACCACUUCACACUGCCGUCUAAAUACACACGCGCACACACACACACACAUACAUUUAAGAGCACACACUGUCUUUACUCAAUGAAUACACUCAGGCACAAGUAGGGAGUGGAUGAGUAUGAAGCGGGCACACACACACACACACACACACACACACACACACACACACACAUUCCUGUUUGCAAUUUUUUUAACUAUAGAGAAGUAACCUAGUGUCACAUUUUAUAAAUCCUUAAUACUUAAAAAUGGAUCUUGGAUCAAUGAGGUUUUCUACUGUUCUCAAGGAUUGGCAUGCUGUGCAUCCUGAGAUGCUUUUCUGCUCACCAUGUAUGUAAAGAGAGCUUAUUUGAUGUUACCAUGGCCGUCCUAUUAACUUGACCCAGUCUGGCCAUUCUCCUUUCGUCAACAAGGUGUUUCCACCCCGAGAACUGCCACUUACCGGAUGUUUUUCACACAAGUGUGUGUGUGUGUGUGUGGAAAUCCUAGGAGAGCCGCAGUUUCUGGAAUACUCAAACCAGACCAUUUAGAAUCUACAACCAUUCCACGGAUAAAAUCACUGGAUUACAUUCUGGUGUUUGAUGUGAAUAUUGACUGAAGCUCUUCAUCUGAUCCUGCUUGAUAUUGUACACUGUGGUGUUGCCAUAUGAUUGGCUGAUUGGAUAAUUGUAUGAAUGAGCACAUGUACAAGUGAUCAGUGAGCACAUCUAUCUACCAUAGAGGUAUUUUGGGGCAAUACUUGACAAUGUACCUGACUGUUAGAUUUGUGGCCAAGUUGAAGAAGCUUUUGACAUCCCAAUGGAAAAUAAUAAAUAAAACAAUCCAGGACAAAUUCACUUUCAGUAUUUUAUUUUUACAUUGUUUUUUUCCCCCUUAAUGUUAAUCUCUUUCUACAGAACCGGUCCAAACUUCAUAUGUCAAUGUAGUAAGCAAGAUAAACUGUCUACAGAUAAAGAAUCUAAGCAUGCAUCUGUUUUCACCCUUAUAGAAAAAGUUUAGCAGUUCCUAUCCAAAAGACACCAAGAGCCCAGAUGUCCUUAGAAACUAAAUGUAACCUCCAACUCGUGGCCUUUUCAGAAACUCGAUUCCCAGACGUCGCCACACUGAUCACAGUGCAUCCUUCAAAUCCACCGUGCAGCGGAAAUGGACCAGUCGAUUUAAACGGAUUGUUGAAAAUGUACGUUGUUCAAGGCAUUUGUGGAUUUGAAAUUUCGCUACAAACCGAGUCUGAACAGUCGCCAGAAUCUGAGGCAAAAACACACGAAGGAACGAGAUCACGUCGUCAUUGCCUCAUCUCUGGUG